CCAAAGUUUGUUACAGAAAAUCGGGAC
rnacentral:piRNA from 1 species